AUGCUUGCUUCAGCAGCAUAUAUACUAAAAUCAGAACGAUACAGAGAAGAUUAGUAUGACCCCUCACAGGGAUGACAUGUAAAUUCGUGAAACGUUCCAUAUUUUC
ensembl:snRNA U6 U6 spliceosomal RNA